AACAGUGAGCACCUGCCCAUAGUAGGCCUUCACCUGCAGUGACAGGUACAGCUUGCCAUUCUCCAGUGUGAUGAUGUGAUGAUCAAACUACCUCAUACUUAGUACACAAGGGUCCUGACCCAUCAAAAUGGAUGUUUGAGUAAAAGAACCAGAAAGGACAAACCAGGUGGUCAUUCGACUGGGAGUUCAACCGGGAGACCGGGAAUUCCACUGCUCACUAUGACGUGUGCUGACCACCAGGGGGUGAUGCGGAACAUGGCUGGCAUUGGUGACACGGCGCUGGCAGCAGGCGGCAGUGGAGGAGCUGCUGGCCCCGAUGGGCCCUGAUGAGAGCGGACUGUGGCGGGAUGGUGGAGCAGGUGAGGGGGUGGUGCCAGGCCAUGGUGGGGUGCCAGGCAGGGCUGUGGGGCUGUGAGGCUGGGAGCAGGAGCUGGGGCUGUGAGUCUUAGGGGCAUGAGCUGGGGCCCAAUACCCGCAGGUCACCCUGAGGGACCCCACCUGUGCAUGAAUUCAUGCACCGGGCCUCUAGUUUAUCCAUAGAACCCCUUUCCUCAGACUCACUGUCCUCUUCUGCCUUGCAUCCUCUCUAACUCAUUUUCUUUCUGCCUCCAAUUCUCUGCUAUCUCUCUAUGUGUCUUUGCCAGAAAGGCAGCAUAGCGAAGUGAUUGAAACAGCAAACUCUGGAACUAGACUGUCUGUGUUUGACAGCUGAUUUUACCUAGACUGCUGUGUGACCUUGAGCAAAGUCUCAACCUCUCUGUUCUUUACUCUUUCCAUCUAUUAAGUGGGGAUGACAACAAUACCUCCCUCAAAGGGUGAGGAUUAAGUGAGUUACUCUGGGUAAAGCACUUUACACUUCCCAGGGUUGGAAUGAGAAACCAAACUGGGUGCCAGAUCACAUAGCACACCAGGAGCCAGGAAUUGGGGUCAGGCGAUUGCACAGUGGCACCUCCCAAGGUCAGGAAAGUCCAGGUUCCAACUGUGAAUUCAAGAUGUCAGGAUGUCAGUCUCUUCCUCCUGGGUGGAAGGAGUACAUGUUUAGGCUGAACCUGGCAGCUUUGACUUUCAGACUCACUCCCAUAGCCUAGAUCAGGAUCUUUGGUGGUGGCAAGUGGUUUGUUUAGUUUUGCAAACAAGAUGAUGGUUCUCUAUUUUAAAGGAGAGAAAAAGAAAGGGGCUGAUAGAUAGGCAGAUUUAUCACAUAUUGGGCAAUUAUGGACUGAUCCCUGCCAGGAAAUAUUGGAGCCUAGUGGACAUCAAACAGAUUGGACCCAGACUCUGCACUCUGGAACUCAGAGUUAGAGAAAGAGCCAGAGAUACCAAGAAAGAGGGAGAGUGUAAGAGAAAGAAAGAUGCAGAGAGAGUCAGAAAAAGACACCCACAUUGGGACACAGACAAAAAAAGAUGAGGAGAGAACUGUCUGGCUCAAUCAGAUAGACACAAAGAAUUCAAGAAAAAAUUCAGAAUGGAACUACCAUAUGAUCCAGCAAUUCCACU